UCCGCGCCGCCCCACCGCCGCCCUCACCAUGUUCUUGCCCACGCCGCCCUGCUCCCCGGCCGCCCCCGCUCCUCCGUGACACCCUGCUCCCAGCGCUGCCGCCUUCUCCUCUGCGCCGCCCUGCUCCCAGCGUCGCCGCCUGUUACUCUGCGCCUCCCUGCGCCCUGCGUCGCCGCCUACUCCUCCGCGCCGCCCUGCUCCCAGCGUCGCCGCCUGCUCCUCCGUGCCGUGCCCCCCGUCGUCGUCGCCGCCCCUCCCCGUACGCUAGCCCGAGCUGGCCCUCCCAUCGGCUCCGCCGCCCCUCCCAUCAGCGCCGCCGCCCCUCCCCAUCCGCUAGCCCGAGCCGACCCCUAACUGCUCCGCCGCGCCACCUUUCAUCCACCGGGAGGUCCGUCUGCUCCGGCGGCAAGGUGCUCCUCGUCUGCAACUUCAGUAUAUCCGAGGAGGAUGUGGAUUUGGUCCAGUUUGCAAUAUGUUCGUCUAGUUCUGAACUUUUGAUUGUGGUUGUAACCGUGGUCUUUAUUGUUGAUGAAUUGGUCAUACUGUGAUGGGCCCUUCUUUUGCUCUCCAUGCAAGCUACAGGGUUUGGUUUUGAUAACUUAAGCAAUCUGGUCAUGUGCUUGCUAAUGAGCUUGUUAGGCUGCCUGCUCUUUCUUGUUGUUGCCUAAUAAGUGAAGAGGAGCACAAAUGUUCCAACUUGUACUAGUCUUCUUCCUGGGUGAAAAAGGAAAAGACACUGAUGGCUUGUUCAACUCUGUUUGACUGGAAUAGGUGCAUAAAAGUUGCAUUCUCAAACCAAUUAGUACUAACUGUUGGAAAAAAUAAUCUUUAUCACCUCUCAAGCUGAAUUUUUUCAUAUAGAUGUGUGUUUGUGGAACUUCAUAUGCCUGUCCAUGUAAGUGUAGUGCAUUAAUUUGUGCAGUGUUUGAGUGCACAACCAUGUCAGAUACCAGCACCUGAUCUGACAUGUUUCAUUUGCUCGACUUUGAAUGUUUUUAGUAAAAACGAGUUCUCAAUCUUACAUGGUUAUGGUGCUUUGCUUACUUUGGUUUGAUGCUAGAUUUGGCAUUAUGUUUUGGGCUGCUGGUUAGUCUGACAGCUGGCCAACAUUUUGGUUGUUGUUUAGCUAAUAAUCAUUAUAUGGUCUUGUUUUCUCAUACCAAGUAGUACUAACUCUUCUUGAACAAAAAUCUUUGUCACCUCUGAAGGUGAUAUUUUUUUAUAUGAUGUGCGCUUGUGGAACUUCAGGUGCUUAUCCAUGUUAGUCCAGUGCAUUAAUAAGUGUACUGUUUUGAGUCCAUGACCAUCUCAUCUAGCGGUACUGGAUAAACUUUGAAUGUUCUUGGUAAAAAUGAAUCCGUGGUCUUACAGGAAUACGUUGAUUUGCUUAUUUCGGUUGGAUGCUAGACUUGGUGUUGUGUUUUGGACUGCUGGUUAGUUUGACUGUUGGCCAGCGUUUUCGUCGGUGUUCAUAAAUUUUAUCAUUGUUCAUAAAUUAAAUAUCUCACAGAUGCUGAAAUUGUCAUUUUGUUUGUCUACAGGACAUUGCAUCAUGGGUGUGUGGCUACAUGGAUCUGUCCUUCGGCCAUCUGGUAGCCCUGUUUGUCAUCACCCCACGACGCCGUUGGUGCCUUCUCAAGUUGCUUGACUGCUGCAUGAACCAAAUUGAGCAGUACAAUGGCGAUUUUGCCGAAGUUCGUCACAGUAUGAUUUAGCCUCUUAGGGUUCGCCAUUCUACAUUGAAGGGAAAAGGGCACCACUCUACCUUGAAGUUGAUAGAGACGGGCUCAAGGACAAUCGGUCGUACGGUGGUCAUUGCAUUGUGGUGCUGACGAUGACGGCCAAGCUCUUAUCAUUGCCCAAAGGAUGAAUUUUGUGGGACCUCACCAUCUGUUUCCUUGGUUCAGCUUGAAGUGUCCUCAGUCAGGAGAAGGCUCCAAUAACUUUAUGGUUGGUGGAUCUACACCUGCCCAAGCAAGCCCAGUGACACGCACUGCGGCUCAAGAUGCUUCGACCUGCACGCCACAAUGAUCACUCGAGGUUUGCAUUACGAAUGCCGUCGACGGUGGGCAUACAUGCUGCGGUGGACACUCAUUGCAUAUUGUAGGUUGAACUCAUGCUUUCGUUUCUGAACUCUUGUUGCAUAUGUAAUGUUGUUGUGAACCCUCCUUGAAUAUGUAUGCAUGCUUUUGUGAAACUAUAUUGGAUAUGUAUGAGUGUGUGGACUUUGAACUCAUCAUCGGUUUGUUCUUGUUGUGAACUUGUAAUAUAUUGGAUAUGUAUGCAUGACCGUUUCGGUUGUGAAAUCUUGUUGCAUAUGUACGCAUGCUUUUGUGAAA